GUAGGUGGCAAGCGUUGUCCGGAUUUACUGGGCGUAAAGAGCGCGCAGGCGGUCGAGUAAGUCGAAUGUGAAAGCCCCCGGCUCAACUGGGGAUCGUCAUUCGAUACUGUUCGACUUGAAGAUGGGAGAGGGAAGCGGAAUUUCAGGUGUAGUGGUGAAAUGCGUAGAUAUCUGAAGGAACACCAGUGGCGAAUGCGGCUUCCUGGCCCACUCUUGACGCUGAGGCGCGAAAGCUAGGGGGGAGCGAACGGGAUUAGAUACCCCGGUAGUCCUAGCUGUAAACGAUGAACACUAGAUGUUGGUGGUAUCAACCCCGCCAGUGUCGUAGCUAACGCAUUAAGUGUUCCGCCUGGGAGUACGGCCGCAAGGCUA
rnacentral:rRNA from 1 species